AGAGACCAUUGAUUUGUGUUCAUCGAUGGUACUAAUAUAUACACCACCUAAAGAUCCUUACUUUUCAGUGACAUCACCUUCACUAUGCUACUUCUUCUAUGAGCUAAAGCAAAAAUUAGAAAUUUCUUUCCAAGCUCAUUGUUUAAGGCCAAGUGUUGUUUGUGCUAUAGGCAAAAUUCUUUCAAAUUUAGCCAGACUUAAG
rnacentral:misc_RNA from 1 species